UUUUCGCACUCUGGAGAGCGGCAGUAGCCAUCUGCAAACGCAGAUUCCGGCAGGCUGCCCACCGAAGGGGCGCGCGUUUCACCGCGACACGGCAAGGUGUUCACGGCAACGCAAUCUCUCAGGUAUCGAGGACAGAGGGGCCAUG
rnacentral:ncRNA from 2 species